rnacentral:rRNA from 1 species
AGUGAACGCUGGCGGUAGGCCUAACACAUGCAAGUCGAACGGCAGCACAGAGGAGCUUGCUCCUUGGGUGGCGAGUGGCGGACGGGUGAGGAAUACAUCGGAAUCUACUCUGUCGUGGGGGAUAACGUAGGGAAACUUACGCUAAUACCGCAUACGACCUACGGGUGAAAGCAGGGGACCUUCGGGCCUUGCGCGAUUGAAUGAGCCGAUGUCGGAUUAGCUAGUUGGCGGGGUAAAGGCCCACCAAGGCGACGAUCCGUAGCUGGUCUGAGAGGAUGAGCAGCCACACUGGAACUGAGACACGGUCCAGACUCCUACGGGAGGCAGCAGUGGGGAAUAUUGGACAAUGGGCGCAAGCCUGAUGCAGCCAUACCGCGUGGGUGAAGAAGGCCUUCGGGUUGUAAAGCCCUUUUGUUGGGAAAGAAAUCCAGCUGGCUAAUACCCGGUUGGGAUGACGGUACCCAAAGAAUAAGCACCGGCUAACUUCGUGCCAGCAGCCGCAGUAA